rnacentral:rRNA from 1 species
GACGUAGGGCGCGAGCGUUGUCCGGAUUUAUUGGGCGUAAAGAGCUCGUAGGCGGCUUGUCGCGUCGACUGUGAAAACCCGUGGCUCAACCAUGUGGUCUGCAGUCGAUACGGGCAGGCUAGAAUUCGGUAGGGGAGACUGGAAUUCCUGGUGUAGCGGUGAAAUGCGUAGAUAUCGCUUGGAACGCCGAAGGUGAAAACAGGCUGCUGGGGUUGCGCCGACGCUGAGACACGAAAGCCAGGGGAGCAAACGGG